UGCAUAUUCAAAAAGCGGAGGAAAAGAAACCAACAGGGAUUGCCUCAGUAACGGCGAGUGAAGCGGCAACAGCUCAAAUUUGAAAUCUGGCCUCUCGGGGUCCGAGUUGUAAUUUGUAGAGGAUGUUUUGGGUACCGCCCCGGUCUAAAUUUCUUGGAACAGAAUGUCAGAGAGGGUGAGAAUCCCGUCUUGGACCGGCGGUAGGGCCUGUGUAAAACUCCUUCGACGAGUCGAGUUGUUUGGGAAUGCAGCUCAAAAUGGGUGGUAAAUUUCAUCUAAAGCUAAAUAUUGGCCAGAGACCGAUAGCGCACAAGUAGAGUGAUCGAAAGAUGAAAAGAACUUUGAAAAGAGAGUUAAACAGUAUGUGAAAUUGUUGAAAGGGAAGCGCUUGCAACCAGACUUGAGCGCGACGGUUCCCCUAGCCUUUUGGCUAGGUUACUCUGUCGUGUCCAGGCCAACAUCGGUUCUGAGGGCCGGUCAAAGGCCCCGGGAAUGUACCUACCCACGGGUAGACUUAUAGACCGGGGUGUCAUGCGGCCUCUCGGGACCGAGGAACGCGCUUCGGCUCGGAUGUUGGCGUAAUGGUUGUCAGCGACCCGUCUUGAAACAACGGGACCAAA
rnacentral:rRNA from 1 species